AGGGGUUUUAUGGCAAUACAAACGCCCAUUGGCAACAAUAUUUUCAUCCUUAUCCUGACAAGAUUGAGCAACCAUUUGACUCUGAGGUAAUUGUUUUCUGAGUUUCUGACAUAGUUAUAUUUAUUAGUUUGACCUAGCUAGCUAGAUGGUGUAUAUCUGGAGGUAGUGUAUUUCAAUAAGGUCUUUAAAUUGUAUAAUAUAUAAUACUGGUCAAACCUAUAUAAAGUUCCCUCAAAUUAUGUAAUAAUUUUAAAAUACAACUACCUUGUACCCACAACCAUCUUGGUUUCCAAAAGGUAAUGGACCAGAGUAAUACACCUGGGUAGAAAUAUAGUAGCUCAAUUUACCCAGUGUAUUAGCAUUUAUUGUGUUUUUAUUAACUUAUUUUAGGAAGAAGUUUCUGUAUCAUCACAAAAGCUUGGCCAUUGACCUAUUUGGCUGGUUAUGUCAUGAACUCACGAUAAGAUCUUUGUAUCGAAAAAGCAAAAAUUGUUCCAGGUGGCACUCCCAGAGAAACAAAGAAAUUCAAGCCUUGAUGUAUUCAAUGCGAACUGCAACAGAGGACAAUGAGUACAUUUAAUCGUUGUGGUGGCCUUUGGUCAACUCAUUUAUGGCUUGUAAGUGUAAUGGAAGUUAGUGAGUUAGUUUUUAGUAAGCACACGAAUAAAGACAAGGUCACUUGUCUCCCAGUAGACAAAAUAGUGAAUGAAGUAUUGGCUUCUUCCCUUGUGAAAAGCUUGUGGUGCAAUAUUAUUGCAAAUUAUGAUAUGGAAAUCUCUAAAGAAUGUCAGUUCCUGUGUUUAGAAAAUAUUGUAAAGUUAUAUGUUACUGUUAGAUGUUUUCAUUUGCCAAAGAUACUGUAAAUAAUGUGUGACUAGUGAAGUGAUGUAAUUAAUCAAUAUUAAAUGUAUUCCUUGAACCCUUUUGCCACCAAAGAAGUACAUUAGUUUUUUUAAGAUCACGUCUUUAAAAUGUUAUUGCAUUUGACCAAAUGUCCAGCUUAAAUAUAAUCUAGGGUAUUGAAAAACCAUAACCAGUCACUGUC